rnacentral:rRNA from 1 species
AAAUUGAAGAGUUUGAUCAUGGCUCAGAUUGAACGCUGGCGGCAGGCCUAACACAUGCAAGUCGAGCGGUAGCACAGAGAGCUUGCUCUCGGGUGACGAGCGGCGGACGGGUGAGUAAUGUCUGGGAAACUGCCUGAUGGAGGGGGAUAACUACUGGAAACGGUAGCUAAUACCGCAUAACGUCGCAAGACCAAAGUGGGGGACCUUCGGGCCUCAUGCCAUCAGAUGUGCCCAGAUGGGAUUAGCUAGUAGGUGGGGUAACGGCUCACCUAGGCGACGAUCCCUAGCUGGUCUGAGAGGAUGACCAGCCACACUGGAACUGAGACACGGUCCAGACUC